GUAGGAAGAAAAAAUUCAAAGAUGGGGCUGGAGAGAUGCCUCAGUGGUUAAGGCUGCUCUUGGACAGGACACUGGUUCAGUUCCCAGCACUCACAUGGUGGCUCACAACCUUCUAUGACUACAACCCCAGGUAACCCAACACCCUCUUCUGUCCUCCUCGGGUGCCUGUGGCGGUGUACAUGGUGCACAGCACGAACAGGCAAAACACCCAAUACACACAGAAAUAAAGAAUUCAAGAAUACCCUGGGCUACAUAGCAAGACCCUGUCUCAGAACAAACCAACCCAUGAAGAGCCAGGCAGUGUGUCUAUUUCCAUGACCGUACACAAGCGAACUCAGGAAGCAAGAGUGUCCAUCACUGCUGUAACGUCAAUGCUCCUUGUGAUUUCGGCAUCUCUGUGGGGCGAGGUGUUCUAUCACUCUAAAGUCAAGGACUAUGUCACCUGUGAACGUCAGACUUUGCAAAGGGGCUCUCUAGGCUGCAUUGUUGUGGCUUUGUCUAAAAUUUUAAUGACAUUUCUGAGAACCAUGUUCUUUUUAUACUAAAAACUGGGGAUGGGAGGGCUCAUAUGUUGAUAAA
rnacentral:lncRNA from 1 species